UACGUAGGGGCAAGCGUUGUCCGGAAUCAUUGGGCGUAAAGCGCGUGUAGGCGGCCCGGUAAGUCCGCUGUGAAAGUCGGGGCUCAACCCUCGAAAGCCGGUGGAUACUGUCGGGCUCGAGUGCGGAAGAGGCGAGUGGAAUUCCUGGUGUAGCGGUGAAAUGCGUAGAUAUCUGGAGGAACACCGGUGGCGAAAGCGGCUCACUGGACCGAAUCGUGACACUGAGGUGCGAAAGCUAGGUAGCAAC
rnacentral:rRNA from 1 species